rnacentral:lncRNA from 1 species
UGAAACUCAGAGUCUGGAGAAUCAUCCAGGUCAGAGGAGGUGGACUGACUUCUCUUCAUCCUGACCAACACAUUUUAAAUAUGAUUAGAAGGAUCCAUUAAGUCCAGCGCAGCCCUCAGGUCCUCCAGGAGAUGCAGCGCUCGAAUGCUGCCCAGAAAGGGUGAAGUUGGUGACUGACAAUCAAACAGACCAUUGGUGUAGGUCAUGGCCUUAGAACCUGCGGUGAGCAGAAGAAUGAGGAUCAAUGAAGGUGAUCAAUGAUGAUUUUACGGAUGAGCACUUUCCAAAAACAAAACACAGGUUGGAUGACUGUGUCCUCAGCGCUCUGGUGGCUUAUUGUCAGAUGAUGUAAACAGCGGGACGUUCACUGCCACGAUUACAGAAUGAAUGGAAAAGCAUGACCUUCAAGAGAUUCGGUCUUGCUGAAGGCAAAGACAUCCAUUUGUCUCUGAUGUGCCCCUGAUUUGCUCAGAGAUGGACAGUAUUGUGGUCGCAUACUGAAUACACAUUAGAUUCAUCAGCGCUGAAAUAGUGGAAAAAGCUGGUAAUGCAGCUCACGACGCAUACCCUCAUCUCUUAUAUAUCUGCAGAAACACUCAGAGCACAAAUGUGUUCCCUUAGCUGGCUUAUGUGCAAGCAUUGCCCCUAAAAAUACUUUGUUUUUGUGAACUUUUUUUUUUUAUUCGUGAUCACAUGGUUUGUGACUGUCUGUAAAGAUAUAGGUCAUUUUUGUGCAUAGUAUUUCAUAUUUAUUUAGUCGUACCUGCAAUGAUGCCAUCCAUCUGCUCCAGAGCAGCUGCCAACAU